UGUCACGGGGUGACAAAAGAGAAGCGGAACUAAGUCCCGCCGGAAUUUUGUGUUCCCCUCGGGACGGUGUCGCGGUAACACCGGUCCACUUCCGGGUUGCGCCCGAUGUCAUAAUAACAACGCUAAUGACAGAUUGACAUCUGGUGUGGGGAGUUUGAUGUGGCGAUCUGUGAGAGGAUUAUGGAGGCGGAGUAACCACAUAAAAAGAGAAGUGCAGAGACCAUGGGGGGGUUGAUUCUAUUUGGUCGUUCGUUUUCCCGGCUAUUCUUCCGGGUUGGCUUGCCCCCGUGUGUGGUUCUUCUCUUUGGAUGUGUUCCCCUAGGAGAGGUGAAUUCCUGGGACGUUUGGGCUGGCGUGUGGAGGUAUUUGAGGACUAUUGUGGGGUUUCGGCUAUCUGGCUGUGCAACAGAUUUAUCAGCGAUCGAGUGGAGAUAUUCAGGACAGAAAGAGUGUGAGUUCUGGAAAGCAAGUGAAGACCAGACCGCGCCAUCGCUAUCGGAGGGAAGUUAAGAGACCUGAUCUGGGACUUCGAUCAAUUGCAUACAUCUGGACUGGGAGUGAUAACGUUGUGAAGUGGACGGAGUCAUCGUUGGGUGAGUGCUGGCUCUAUUUGAAGAGUGGGUGUGCCGUGUCUGAAGUGGUGUGUUUGCACAAUAAAUCGUUUGAAGUGAAGUUACAGAGUGUGGGGAAGAUGUAUAGAGUUAAUGCCGGACGCUCACCACCCCGAGAGCCCACCACCGUCACCGUAAUCCACACCCAGGCACUCGACUGAAGUAUCCCCCAGCCGUAAGCCCCAUUUCUUAUUCAAGAACACAUACAUGCUGUUGAUUACUUACCCCGCUGUGUAGAUCGCAGGUUCCUCUGGGCCGAACGCCGCAUGUGAUGUCCCUAUGAAAGGAGGUGGACACGAGAAUUAUUCCUUUCCCGGUCACAACCGAAGCAUCUCCCAGCCGUAAGCCCCAUUACUUAUUCAAGAACACAUACUUACUGUUGAUUACUUACUCUGCUGUGCAGAUCGCAGGAUCCUCUGGGCCGAACGCCGCAUGUGAUGUCCCUAUGAAAGGAGGUGGACACAAGAAUUAUUCCUUUCCCGGUCACAACCGAAGCAUCUCCCAGCCGUAAGCCCCAUUACUUAUGCAAGAACACAUACUUACUGUUGAUUACUUACUCUGCUGUGCAGAUCGCAGGAUCCUCUGGGCCGAACGUCGCAUGUGAUGUCCCUAUGAAAAGAGGUGGACACACGAAUUAUUCCUUUCCCGGUCACAACCGAAGCAUCUCCCAGCCGUAAGCCCCAUUACUUAUGCGAGAACACAUACUUGCUGUUGAUUACUUACUCUGCUGUGCAGAUCGCAGGAUCCUCUGGGCCGAAUGCUGUAUGUGAUGUCCCUGUAGAAAGAGGUGGACACGAGAAUUAUUCCUUUCCCCGGUCUCGACCGAAAUAUCCACG